rnacentral:rRNA from 1 species
CCAUGCUAGAUCACCGAAGUUAAGCAUCAUUGGGCGCGGUCAGUACUUGGGUGGGUGACCACCUGGGAAAACUGCGUGCCGUU